rfam:Chelonia mydas contig252495, whole genome shotgun sequence.
GGCCAGCUAGCUCAGCUGGUUAGAGCAUGGUGCUAAUAACGCCAAGGUCAUGGGUUCAAGCCCCAUGCUGGCCA